rnacentral:rRNA from 1 species
ACGGUGAUGAGGAGCUUGCUUCUCUGAUCAGUGGCGAACGGGUGAGUAACACGUGAGCAAUCUGCCCUUGACUCUGGGAUAAGCGUUGGAAACGACGUCUAAUACCGGAUACGACCCUUGGAGGCAUCUCUGGGGGUGGAAAGAAUUUUGGUCAAGGAUGAGCUCGCGGCCUAUCAGCUAGUUGGUGAGGUAAUGGCUCACCAAGGCGACGACGGGUAGCCGGCCUGAGAGGGUGACCGGCCACACUGGGACUGAGACACGGCCCAGACUCCUACGGGAGGCAGCAGUGGGGAAUAUUGCACAAUGGGCGAAAGCCUGAUGCAGCAACGCCGCGUGAGGGACGACGGCCUUCGGGUUGUAAACCUCUUUUAGUAGGGAAGAAGCGUAAAAGUGACGGUACCUGCAGAAAAAGCACCGGCUAACUACGUGCCAGCAGCCGCGGUAAUACGUAGGGUGCAAGCGUUGUCCGGAAUUAUUGGGCGUAAAGAGCUCGUAGGCGGUUUGUCGCGUCUGCUGUGAAAACCCGAGGCUCAACCUCGGGCCUGCAGUGGGUACGGGCAGACUAGAGUGCGGUAGGGGAGAUUGGAAUUCCUGGUGUAGCGGUGGAAUGCGCAGAUAUCAGGAGGAACACCAAUGGCGA